GAGAAAAGCCCGGGCUCCAUGGGGCGGGGGGCCGGGUACCGCCUGGGGGGGAAACCCACGACCAGUGAAACAGAGAGAAAACCGCCGAUGGCCCACGUAAGUGGGAUCAGGUAAGGGUGAAAGGGUGCGGUAAGAGCGCACCGCGCGGCUGGUAACAGUCCGUGGCACGGUAAACUCCACCCGGAGCAAGGCCAAAUAGGGGUUCAUAAGGUACGGCCCGUACUGAACCCGGGUAGGCUGCUUGAGCCAGUGAGCGAUUGCUGGCCUAGAUGAAU
rnacentral:RNase_P_RNA from 1 species